UACAGGGGGUGCAAACGUUGCUCGGAAUCAUUGGGCGUAAAGCGCACGUAGGCGGUUCGUUAUGUCGGAUGUGAAAGCCCUUGGCUUAACCGAGGAAGUGCAUCCGAAACUGGCGAGCUAGAGUACUAAAGAGGAUCGCGGAAUUCCCGGUGUAGAGGUGAAAUUCGUAGAUAUCGGGAGGAACACCGGCGGCGAAGGCGGCGAUCUGGGUCGAUACUGACGCUGAGGUGCGAAAGCGUGGGGAGCAAACAGG
rnacentral:rRNA from 1 species